AUACGGAGGGUGCAAGCGUUAAUCGGAAUUACUGGGCGUAAAGAGUACGUAGGUGGUUUGUUAAGUCAGAUGUGAAAGCCCCGGGCUCAACCUGGGAACUGCAUUUGAAACUGGCAAACUAGAGUAUGGUAGAGGGGGGUAGAAUUUCUAGUGUAGCAGUGAAAUGCGUAGAUAUUAGAAGGAAUACCAGUGGCGAAGGCGGCCCCCUGGACCAAUACUGACACUGAGGUACGAAAGCGUGGGUAGCGAACAGGAUUAGAAACCCUAGUAGUCC
rnacentral:rRNA from 1 species